rnacentral:pre_miRNA from 1 species
AAAAAGACAAACCCUGAGUUUCCGUGUCCAACGUUUAACCGUCCGUUUUAUUUGAAAAAAUUAUGAAAAAAAAUUAAAAAGACAAGUCAUGCAUAAAAUAUUAAUCAUAUUUUAUCAUGUAAUAACAAUGAAAAUACUAAUUAUAAAAAAUUUCAUAUAAGACGGACAGUCAAAUGUUGGACACGGAAACCUAUGAUUUAUCUUUUU